CCAUCUCUUGUUUUUUUGGAACUUACGACUUAUGGAAAGAGAGAAGAAAACUGUGUGACUUUAAAAGAAAACCAGUGAGAUAAAAUCAUAGAAAAUGUAUGAUGAUUCAGGAUGUGGUCAUUUGGUCCUGUUCUGUGGAUGCCCUAAGACAGUGUCUACCCAUCACUCCAUCUGAAAUCACUUGUUCUGUG